CCAUGAGCUAAUUUUACAGAGCUAGAACAACCACUAUAUAAAGUUUGGACUGCUUAAAAAAAAAAAAACACCAAAUCCCCAAAAAGCAUAUUGCUUUGAACAUAAACUCAUGUUCUACAGUGUCAAAAGCUUUAUAAAAUACAAACAUAAGAAAACUAUCAUCAAGGAUGAGGUCAUUAUAGUCAAUCAUAUCUAAGAUCAACCUGAUGUUAUUACUCACGUGUCGACAAUGCAUUAAACCAGAUUGUUCUUCAUCAUAUUUACCUUUCAUAAAUAAAGGUAAAUUAAAAAUUUAAAAAUCUAUUAUAUGAUGCAAGCCUUGUUUCAACCUCUUAGCAAAUACAAGAGCAAAUAAUUUCCCAUCAUUAUUCAACAGGCUAAUGGGUCUCCAGUUGUCAAUAUAAAGACUAUCGUUAUUAGGUUUGGGAAUCAAAGUAAUUACACCUUGCUUUAAGGAAGCUGGUAACUCCCCUUUUUCGAUUGAUUCUUGGAACAUAGGAAGAAUGAAAGGAAUCAAUUUAACAUUGAAUGCUUUAUAAAACUUGCUUAUUAAACCAUCAUUUCCAGGGGACCUAUUGUCCUUAAGGCUUUUAAUACAGUCUUGUCUCAAUUUCAGAUAACUCAUCAUCACAAAAAUCCCUGAAAUCAUAAUCUAUCUUCUUAGCAAUGUUUGCUACAUUGUCUAAGAAAAUAUCCAUAUUGGAAGUUGACUGGACUGGUGUAUAUAGAUUCUGAUAAAACUGGACAACAUGCUGAGAGAUUUAUUUUUGUCAUGCCCUGACCAUAGAGAGCCUUUGUUUUUCUAUGGUAUAGUAGGUCAGGGGGUGACUGGGGGGUUUUCUAGUUAUUAUUUUCUAUGUGGGUUUCUAGUUGAGUUUUUCAAUGUUGGUGUUUGUUAUGAUUCCCAAUUAGAGACAGCUGGCUAUCGUUGUCUCUAAUUAGGGAUCAUAUUUAAGUAUAAUUUUUUUCCACCUAUGUUUUAUAGGAUAUUGUUUUGAGUUAGUGUAUGUUACACCUCUUAGUUACGGUUCGUUGUUUGUUUCGUUCUGUCUUUGUUGUUUUGUUCGUUUUUAAUAAAUAAUAUGUGGAAACCAUAUCGCGCUGCAGCUUGGUCCAAUAAUUAUUCAGACGACUGUGACACUUUUGGAUUUUCAUUGGGAGUAUUUUUAAUCAUUCAUUUACAUAUUUUCACCUGCCCUUUUUUCUAAAUUAAAGAAAUAUUUUGUAUUUUGCUCUCCCUCUUCCAUCCAUUUUCAUCUUUAUCUUGCUCCCCCAGCCUUUUCCUCGUAGAUACAGUCUAAGUGUAUUUGCAAUGAUAGCUCCAGUAAUUCCUGAUUAGUUAGUUCCGUUUUUUUUGUAUGAUCCAUUACUCCCUUUAUGAUGUCACAUUCUCACUCUCUUGGCAUGAGCAAUUUCUUUCCCCAUUGAAAUAGCCAAAAGCCUUAUAUCAAAUUUCACUAGCUCCCAGUAACUUCCAAAUGUAUUCAUAACACAGGCACAAUUCCAGGAUAUCAAUAAUUCCUGCUACUUCCUUCUUAAAUACUUCAUUAUCUAGUUAAGUCUUGUUCAUUUUACAGUAGCAUUUACUAACUUUUUUUGUUGACAAAACAUGCAUAUUUAUCUUUAUUGAGAUCCCUUUGUGGUCUGUUAAAAAUCAAUGGUUCAAUUGAGACUAUAUCAACCUUGUCAGCCAUUUCUUCAGAUAUCAGCCAGAAAUCAAUACAGGAUUGCAUAGAUAAAUCUUUGGUACCCCAUGUAAACAUAAUAUCUGGGCUCUUUUGUCUCCAAAUAUCUAGAACACCUAACCUUAGACAUAUAUUCCUUAUCUCACAAACAGAAUUGCUAUCCUUAGGAGGCCAUCUAUCUAGAUUAUCAUGUAAUACUGUAUUAAAAUCUCCACCCAGUAUUACCUAGGCCAAUGGAAAUUUAGACAAUUUUACUUAUUUUCCUCUCAAUGUCUCUAAAUAAAAUACAGUUACUUGACUUGUUAUUGGAAGAAUAAGUAUUUACAACAAUGAAUUGAAUGUGGUUGACAUCUACCAAUAGUAUAAUCCAUAUCCCUGUAUUAUCUGCUUCAUGACUCAAUAUAUGACCCUUAAAGUUGCCUUUUAAAAUAGUGACACCUGCUGACCGAUUAGUAGCAAAUGAAAACCAAAUAUCAUUCCCCCCAUUGACACUUCCAAAACGCAGUAUCUGUGGAAAAGGCAUGAGUUUCUUGAAUGAAAUAAAAGUCAGCACUAUUAAUUACCCUUACAAUACAAAAAAAUAUUUCCUUUUCAAAAUAUGACGGAUUUCCCUGGCAUUAAUAGAAAAAACAGAAAUGGACAUUUACUAUCAGUGACUAUAUGAAGAACAUUACACUUGUUUUCACAUGAAUCGGGUUCUCACAAAAAGAAAAGGUCUUACUAGUUGCAAAUAAAAACAGUCCUAUGCACCACGCAAGUGGUUGACCUAAAUUAUAUACAUAUAUAUAUAUAUAUUGUUUUAUACAAUUGCAAAUAACAUUGUACCAUAGAUUGGUAAAACGAAUAGCCAUCAAGAUAACAUUGUCAGUGCAAAUUUCCCUGCCAUAAAAAGAGAUAUAAAGUUUUAUCAGAUGCAAAUAAAACUCAGUGCUGCACCACUCACUUGAUAAAUCCAGCAGUCAACAAGCUAGGCAUCAGCGUGAAUUUCCCUUUGAUUAGCAAAAGCCAUGGCUCCCGCAAAGUAUGCACUUUUCCCUUCCUUCCUCUGUCAUCCUCCACAGAUGAUUCCGAGCUUCUUUGUCAAAUGCUGUCAGAUCCUCAGGUUGUUCUUUAAAUAGUCCUUUUUCUUUGCACUUUUCCAUGUCAUAUCCCUGGCUGUCCUGGAGAUUAAUCUCAUGAUCACUGGUUGUGGUGGCUGGUUGUUUUCCCUAUCUCUCAGCCUUCCCAGGCAGUGCACUACAUCCAGAGAACCUGCAACAACAUUUCGCUCCUCCUCCGCGACUAUUGCCCUGCAAAUGUCCUUCACUCUUGCUUUGAUGUUGUCGUCGGAUUUUUCUGCUAUUGCAUAAAUUCAAAGAUUCCACCUCCGACCAUACCGGUCCUUCUUGUAUACAUUUGACUCCAUUUCAGUGAGUUUUUUCUCCUGCUUUGCAACCUGAAUUUUUUAUAUUGCGUUCUGCUGCUUCAGUUUUUACUUCAUCAGCAUUGAAAUCAAUCGCUUUCUUAAUGUUAAAAUCAAAUGUAUUUAUAUAGCCCUUCGUACAUCAGCUGAUAUCUCAAAGUGCUGUACAGAAACCCAGCCUAAAACCCCAAACAGCAAGCAAUGCAGGUGUAGAAGCACGGUGGCUAGGAAAAACGAUACUGACAGUGUUCUUUUUCACCAAAUCCAUGAUUUCAUCUGCGUUCUCUUUGACUUUAACCGUGAGGAUACGGACGAUGUUGUCCUGUAGCUGGCUCAGUGAUGGUUCACUUCUCAGCUUCUUUGGAAGUUGCGCUUUGGUUGGGGUAUUCAGUGUGACAGGCUAGCUGCAGACACAGCCAUUGAGCUGAGGAGAAGGGGAGUGGCCUCUGUCAGUCUAUGACCUUGAGUAGUUCAGACAGAGUUGGUGUCUCAACUCAUCAUCAUUGAGAAGGAUUCUCCACCAGGUAUUGAUCCUAAGAGAUGUAUUUGCCAAUGAAGACACCACAGAGCUGAGUGGGAAGUGCAUUGUGGAGAUGGCGGAAAGGUACAUUACAUUUACAUUAUACUACAGCAUGUACAUGGUCAUGCACCGUUAUACACUCAGUGGCUAGUUUAUUAGGUACACCACCCCGUUCACAAAAAUGGUUAGCUCCUACAGACAGUUAGUCACGUGGUCGUGGCUUGUUAUAUAAAGAAGGCAGGCAAGCAUGAAGACAUUCAGUUACUGUUCGAUUAAACAUUAGAAUGGGCAAAACUAGUGACCUGAGCAACUUUGAGCAUGGUAUGAUCAUCAGGUCAGGCGCGCUGGUCCCAGCAUCUCAGAAACAGCCGGCCUCCUGGACUUUUCACGCACAACAGUGUCUAGGGUUUACUGAGAAUGGUGCGACAAACCAAAAACAUCCUCGGUCCUCUGCCAGGACCUAGGAUCAAGGGAGA